rnacentral:rRNA from 1 species
UACGUAGGGUGCAAGCGUUGUCCGGAAUUAUUGGGCGUAAAGGGCGGGUAGGCGGUCACUGCAAGUCGGUUGUGAAAUCUCCGGGCUUAACCCGGAAAGGUCAAUCGAUACUGCAGGGCUAGAGUGCAGAAGGGGCAACUGGAAUUCUCGGUGUAGCGGUGAAAUGCGUAGAUAUCGAGAGGAACACCUGCGGCGAAGGCGGGUUGCUGGGCUGACACUGACGCUGAACUGCGAAAGCUAGGGGAGCGAACGGG